CUAAUUAUUCAGUGUCCUACCAUGGAGGCUGCAGAGAGUUUGGAAUAUCACCUAUGAUUGGGUCUUGUAGAUUAUCAGUAUAUAUUCUCAUAUAGUGUUGGUCAUUUCCUUCAUGAUAUUGUAUACAUGUUCCUAAACUCUGUCACCAAAAGAGACAAAUUCCAAAGCAUUAUAGGAGAUGACUAAGGCUGUAAAUUUGGGGAUUUUUAUAGGUUAAUUUUUCUUCUUUGUCUAGGAAGACCUGGAUAUUUUUAGUAAAGUCCAUGGAUUGUUUUACCCAAGUGCCUUUUAGUGAAGUGUGGGCUCACUUCUCUUGGAAACCCAAAUAUUCAAAGGGAAACUUGAGAGAACCACCCAGGGAUCACUGUAAACUGACAUGCCCUGAGAAGAGAGAGAAAGAGCCAUUGGCAAACCACAAAGAAAAGAGCUUUGAGGUCAGCAGCCAGUGGCAGUAGGCGCUUAUCAUUGCUGACAUCCCAGAUGUGCUGAUCCACCCCUCAGUGGAGCUGGAGUCUUCAGGACAGACACGUGCAAAAUUCAGGCAGGUGCAGAACUGGAGUUCUUUGCCAUGUGCUGAGUUCAUGACUGGCCCAGGAAUUAGAGAAGAUGGUGAAUGAUCCUGUGGAAAGUGGAACAAUUGCAGAACCAGCUGCUGUCCCAAGGCAUCCUGAACCAAGAGGUAAAUGACAAGGUGAGUAUCAAAAGCAUUUUCCUCAAUCUUCCAAGAGUAAAAGUAAGGAGGAAGAGCCUUACCACUCCUUUCCAACUCUGCAGAAAUAUGUUGGGUGGACCAUCCUAACCAGAAACAGAGGAAGUGAGUUCCUAACCAUGCUGCAGUAUCACAGAACCAUCUCAUUGACAUGUAUGAAAGCACACUCUUAGCCCAAUGUAUACUGUGCACCAGAACCCAAGAGAUUGGAUGAUGAGAGGCAGUGGUUCCAGAGACCUCAGGCACUUGGUG
rnacentral:lncRNA from 1 species